CUUAGGACGAACGCUGGCGGCGUGCUUAACACAUGCAAGUCGAGCGAUGAAGCUCUUCGGAAGUGGAUUAGCGGCGGACGGGUGAGUAACACGUGGGUAACCUGCCUCAUAGAGGGGGAAUAGCCUUCCGAAAGGAAGAUUAAUACCGCAUAAGAUUGUAAUAUCGCAAUGAUAUAGCAAUUAAAGGAGUAAUCCGCUAUGAGAUGGACCCGCGUCGCAUUAGCUAGUUGGUGAGGUAACGGCUCACCAAGGCGACGAUGCGUAGCCGACCUGAGAGGGUGAUCGGCCACAUUGGGACUGAGACACGGCCCAGACUCCUACGGGAGGCAGCAGUGGGGAAUAUUGCACAAUGGGGGAAACCCUGAUGCAGCAAACCGCCGCGUGAGUGAUGACGGUCUUCGGAUUGUAAAGCUCUGUCUUCAGGGAUGAUAAUGACGGUACCUGAGGAGGAAGCCACGGCUAACUACGUGCCAGCCGCUGC
rnacentral:rRNA from 1 species